rnacentral:rRNA from 1 species
GAUGAACGCUGGCGGCGUGCCUAAUACAUGCGAGUCGAGCGAACAGACGAGGAGCUUGCUCCUUUGACGUUAGCGGCGGACGGGUGAGUAACACGUGGGUAACCUACCUAUAAGACUGGGAUAACUUCGGGAAACCGGAGCUAAUACCGGAUAAUAUUUCGAACCGCAUGGUUCGAUAGUGAAAGAUGGCUCUGCUAUCACUUAUAGAUGGACCUGCGCCGUAUUAGCUAGUUGGUAAGGUAACGGCUUACCAAGGCAACGAUACGUAGCCGACCUGAGAGGGUGAUCGGCCACACUGGAACUGAGACACGGUCCAGACUCCUACGGGAGGCAGCAGUAGGGAAUCUUCCGCAAUGGGCGAAAGCCUGACGGAGCAACGCCGCGUGAGUGAUGAAGGUCUUCGGAUCGUAAAACUCUGUUAUUAGGGAAGAGCAAACGUGUAAGUAACUGUGCACGUCUUGACGGUACCUAAUCAGAAAGCCACGGCUAACUACGUG